rnacentral:rRNA from 1 species
UACGAAGGGGGCUAGCGUUGCUCGGAAUCACUGGGCGUAAAGGGUGCGUAGGCGGGUCUUUAAGUCAGGGGUGAAAUCCUGGAGCUCAACUCCAGAACUGCCUUUGAUACUGAGGAUCUUGAGUUCGGGAGAGGUGAGUGGAACUGCGAGUGUAGAGGUGAAAUUCGUAGAUAUUCGCAAGAACACCAGUGGCGAAGGCGGCUCACUGGCCCGGUACUGACGCUGAGGUGCGAAAGCGUGGGGAUCAAACAGG